UGGAUUAUAGGUUUGAUUUGCAACCUUAUUUUGUUGAUCUGUGAUUGGAAACAUUGUAAUUAAGUUAAUGACCAACCGUUUUUAUUCUGUCUUUGAACCCGUUUUUAAAUCUGUUUAAUUAUUAGUUGCGUCUAUGUUUUGAUUAUAUUCAUCCGUAUUCACCACAAACUUUUCACAACCCCCCCACCUUCGUGUUUGACUCGAUUCUUGAACCGCAAAAUUGGUCUUUGGGAGACGACCUAGGGGUCAUUCCCUAACUAUACUGCAUUUAUUUGCACAUCAAAUUUGUGUGGGUUGCGACAGCCCAUCAUUGAUCCUCUCAUCAUACUCAGAAGUUUGUGAAGAUGUUCUAGGGUUAAUGGGUACCUUAUUAAGAAUAUUAUGGAGUGAUUCUCUAAUACUUUCCUGCUCUUUUUCUCUUUCUGCUUUCUUCUCUUCGGAUCUCUUAUGCUUAUUAUGAAUCCUCUCCUCCUCUUCAUCCUCACUGCUUCCAAUCUCAAUUAUUUCCUCCUUUAGCUUCCUUUUACUUCUUGUUAUAACAACUUUGCACUCCUCUUUUGGGUUAACGUCAGUGUUAGCCCGAAAUUGAUUUUUCUCCGUGGUUUCGACCCUCUUAGACAGAUGUCGAAUCUGUGUCUCUAGUGAUCUAAAGCUGGCCUGAUCACUCGCUUGUUGAGACUCAUAAACUUUCACAAAUUUUUCAAAUCUGUCAGUUAAUUCUCUGACUGUCUCAGUCAAGCUGCUUAUCUGCUGCCAUAUGGGGGAAGGUUGUUGCUGUCGAAAAGUUGCCCACUUGUCCAGAUGAAUUAUUCUGGAUUUGCCCAAUACUUGGGUGGUUCUUCCAACCUUGGCUAGAAUUGCCUUGGUUGAAAUUGCCGUGCUUAUAUUGAAAUUGGGCUCCCAUGUAAUUAACAUCCUGUUGCAUCUCGUCAGUGAAAGCACAUUGACCAUUGAUAUGGUCACCACCGCAUAAGUCACAAAGUUGCUGUGUUUGAGAAAUAUUUCUGAUUCCCCUAGGAAGUUCAGAGAGGACCUUCGUCAACUUGUCUAAUUUUUGGCUGAGAAGAUGAUUCUGAGCAGCUGCAACAUCCUCAGCAGGAAGAUGCAAGAGUCCUCCUUUUUGUAUGCCCCUCUCACUCUGUGAUACUUCAUUCAAGGUCAUCUCUUCAAUCAAGUCAUAUGCCUCGUCUUCCGUUUUUCUAUUAAUACUACCUCCAGCUGAGGCAUCUAACAUCAUCUUGGAAUGAGUACGUAAACCUCCAAGGAAAGUAAGUAAGUAUGAUGUGUUAUCGAACCCAUGGACUGGGGUCUUCCUCAAUAAGCCUUUAAAUCUUUCCCAUGCUUGCCCGAGAGUUUCCUCCAUCCCUUGCUUGAAUGAAGAGAUCUCCAGCUUCCCUUGAUUAAUUUUUGGAACUGGAAAGAAUUUAGUACAAAUUGUUGUGCCACAGCCUCCCAAGUCCUGAAAGUUCCUUCAGGGAAAGAAUGCAACCAAUCCUUUGGGUUUCCUCCAAGAGAGAAAGGAAACAAACUGAGUCUAACUCUGUCAUCCGACACUCCGUUCAUACACCUGGUUCAAAGCAAUCAGUUUCACGGCCUGUCAAAUGAGAAUCCCUAUGACUAUUUGACAGCGUUUAGUGAAAUAUGCAAUACAGUGAAGAUGACAGGUGUAUCAGAUGAUAGAGUGAGGCUUAACUUGUUCCUGUUCUCAUUGGGAGGCAAUGCUAAGACAUGGCUUAAUUCCUUCCCUAAAGGGACAUUUACUACAUGGGAGACUGUGGCUACAAAGUUUGUCAACAAAUAUUUUCCACAAUAUAAAGUUACUCAGGGAAGACUGGAGAUCUCAUCAUUUAAGUCAAGCAUGGGAGCAAUUCAAAGGCCUACUUAGGAAAACACCAGUUCACGGGAUUGACAAGACAAGCAUUGUUCUUGCUUACCUUGGCGGACUGAACAUGCAGUCUAAGAUGAUGUUGGACGCCUCAGCUGGAGGUGAUAUCAAACAGAAGACUGAGGAUGAAGCCUAUGACUUGAUAGAGAGUAUGGCAGCUAAUGGACAAGAAGCGUACAGUAAAAGGGGCACACCAACACAAGAGAGAGGAGUCUUGCACUUACCUGCAGAUGACGCAAUGCUAGCUCAAAAUAAUCUUUUGACCCACAAGCUAGAUACAUUGACAAAGAUCCUCUCACAACUUCCAAAGGAGAUUCGCAAUGUUUCUCAAGCACAACAGCUAUGCGAUCUUUGUGGUGGUGACCAUUUCAAUGGUCAAUGUGUUAUACCUGAGGAGAUGCAACAGGAAGCUAACUACAUGGGGAACCAAUUCCACUAUAGGCAAGGGAAUUUCAACCAAGGCAAUCCUAGCCAAGGUUGGAAGAACCAUCCAAGUAUUGGUCAACAACAUAAUAACCCAUCAGGGCAAACAGGAGGCUUCAGGCAACAUCAAUCUUCUCCUUGUGGCAGCAAAUAAAUCAAUUGACAGAGAAUGUUAGAGACUUUUCUAAUAGAUUUGACAAAUUCUUGAAGGAUUAUAAUUCUCAACAUUCAAGUAAUCAAGCCAACUUUAGAUCUUUGGAGAUGCAACUUGGUCAACUGUCAAAGAGGAUUGAAAUCAUAGAGAAGAAUUAAUCUAGGGUUAAUACUGAUGUUAUUCCUAAGGAAGAAUGUCGUGCUGUUGUAGUGAGGGAGAAAAGAAAGGCAGAGGUGGAAGUUAUUGAGAUUAGCAGUGAUGAAGAAGAGGAAAGUGAGAGUGACAAGCUUCGUGAAGAAGAGAAAGAAGAAGAGGGAUUUGAAGAAGUUGAGAAAAGAAGAGAUAGUCACAAUGGACAGAUGAGAGAAAUAUUCAAACAUGUGACUAUGGUUCCUAUAGAAGAAAAUCAUCCUCAAAUUCCUGUUUAUUCUAAGAAAAUUAAUUAUUACCUUGGAGAGGUGAUAGAUUUAGAUGCAGAUGAAGAAGAACAAGAAGUGCUUGUGCAAUCAAGAAAGGACCAUCAUCCACCUAAAAUGAAGGAUCCGGGAUUAUUAACUCUUCCAUGCGUGAUAAAUUAUGUGAACAUAGGAAGAGCUAUGAUAGACUCUGUGUCUAGCAUAAAUUUAAUGCCCUUGAGUUAUUUGAAGAAAAUUAAAGGGUUAGUGUUAAAGCUAGCUAAUACUACUUUAACAGUUGCAGAUGGUUCUAUUAAGAAGACAACUGGUAGGGUGGAGGAUGCAAUUGUCCGUAUCGAGUAGUUGGAAUUCUUGAUUGACUUUGUCGUUCUGGAUAUGGAAAAUGAAGGAAGGAUUCCAUUAAUUUUAGGAAGACCUUUUAUGAGGACUUCCAGAAUGGCGAUGCGUAUCCAUGAUGGAAUAACAACUUUGAAAGAUCAAGAAUAUGUGUUAAUGUAUAAUUGCUCUAAAGGAAAGAAAGUGAAAAUGAAGAAGAGGGCCAGAUUCAAAGAGACAAGUAGAGAAGUUGCACCAGAUGAUAGCACAACAGGUACCGAUUCUAAUAGUUGUAAUGUUUUGCAGGUACCUGAAGAGGAAGAGGUUGACAAAGGAGGCACUAUCCAUUCCGAAUAUACACCUCUCCCAAUAGGAGCACAAGUGAAAUUCAAGAAUAGGAAGUGGUUUGUUAUUAAGAUUCGGGAAGAUGACAAGUUGGAAAUCAGAAAACCAUUCACAAGAGCCAUAAAGAAAGUGGAUAGAAGGCAACUGAUGAGUUGGGUUGAUGAAGAUCCCAAUCGGGAUGGAAUGACUUGAUUAUAUUUGAUCCCACCUUGUAUAAAACAUUUGUAGUUUUAGGUUUAUUUGGUUUUGACAUGUAAUUUAUUGGAUUUUUGAACACUUUUUAGGUAGCAUCUACUGAGGGAUACUAAAAUUCUUAUGUAUCCACUGAAGGAUACAAGGUAAGUACACUUACUGAAGGGUGUUGGAAGGAUAAGCACUUACUGACGAGUGCUAAGCAAGUUUGGGUCAGGCUCGUGACAUUAAACAAGCGCUACCUGGGAGGCAACCCAGUUGAUUGUGUUGUUUUUAAAUCCUGUGAUAAGUGCAUUGCAUGUUUAAUUUUUGCAUUUGAGAGGGGAAAGGCAUAGAAUUGAAAAAUUGAAGGUUGAAAUUGAGUGAUAUAAGGUAAGAUUACUCAAAAGAAAGCAAAAGAAGAAGAAGUGAAAUUUACCGCAGACCGUUGAGCGGUUGCGACGCGAUAGGUCUUGGCUUUGCUUAAAAGCUCAGCGGUUUUUGAAGUUCUUCACUUCGAAACCCUUCUUUGAAUUUUGCCUGAGCGGUCUCCCUAAGCCCUAACACUCUCCUUUCACUUUCAAGAAGUUUUUAGAGAGAUUUCCUCACUUUGUCAUCACCCACUCACCAAAAAUUCAAUUUUCUACUAUUGUUAAGUCAAAGUAUGGGGUUUUUGGUUGAGGGAUUGCAUUAGAAAGGACAUUCAUCAUCGAUUGAACAAUUUUUCUGCAAGCAUUCAAAGUCUCCACUCAAGUAAGUAUGCAAAUUCAUGUUUAUAGGUUUCUCUUUAGAGAUUUGUUGAUGAACAUGCUUAAGAACAUGAUAAAUUGGGUUUUUGAUUUCUAUGCAUGAAUUGAUGAAAUAGGAACUGUUUGAACUGAUUGAAUUGCAUGAUUUUGGUCUGGAUUGUUGAAAAUAGUAAAAGAGUGGAGAUUAGGACCAUUUAGGAAGAAUUUUUGAAAAACCCUAGCUGCCACCGCUGAGCGGUCUGUUUUGACGCUAAGCUGUGGCGCGGCUUGAGGCAAACCGCCUGGGCGGUCUUUUUGGACACUGAGCGGUCUGCAGCAGAUUUGCCUAAAUGUUGAAAUUUUUGGAUGUUUGUAUGUUAAGGGGCCCUUUUUUUCCUCAAGAAAUUGUAUGAUCUGAAUUAUAAAAUUGAUGAUGUACUAACCUCUAAUGAUGUUUCUGUGAAUAUUGUUGGAUGGAUUUGAUUUAAUACAGGAAUGUCUACCUCAAGAAGAGUGAAAACAAUGGGCAACAAAAGGAAGGAACCAGAGAGACCUAGGAGAUUCUACUAUUCUAGGUUCCUUAUGGAGAGGAAGGCCAUGUACAUCCCUGAUUUAGCUCUUGAGUUUGGUCUGGAGAUUUAGAGGCGAGGCUGGGAGAGAUUGAUGACAUAUCCAACACCAGCCAGUAUUGAGUUGCUGAAGGAGUUCUACGCCAACCCCUUGCCUAGAGGAGGAGUAUCCGUAGGGAGAUACAUGAGCUAUGUACGUGGGCAUUUGAUCAGCUAUGAUCCUGACACCAUUAACGCCUUCCUAGGGACUGAGUGGCCAGGAGAGCAGUGCAGUUAUGCUGCUAUACUAGCGGAGGCCAGGGAUUAUGGAGAUAUUGAGAGAGUGAUGUGCAUACCUGGGAGGCAUUUUCAGAGAAACCCUAAUGGAGCACUAGUUAACAUCCUUAGGGCAGAUUUGACUCCCCUAGCCAAGUACUGGAUGGUAUUUACUCAUGCCAACAUCCAGCCAUGUUCCCAUGUUUCUAACAUUACUUUACAUUGGAUCCUGGUCAUUUAUUGUAUGCUGAGGCAGAUGGACGUGAACGUUGGUAAGAUCAUUACCAGCGAAAUUCUGAGUUGCGCCAACACUGUGAGCAGUAGGAGACCACUGGGACAUCCGUCCCUAAUUACAUACUUGUGCCAGCAGGCAGGAGUGGACACUGCAGUUCCACCCUUUGAGAGGUCGAGGAGGGCUGUUGAUGCCUCCUAUUUUCGUCAGUACUGAAGAGAGGACAAGCCAGCCGGAGCAGUUCCUAGGAAACGUCCUAGGAGGGCAGUAGCGCAGCAGGAGGAUGAGCCUGCAGAUGCACCGACACAGUAGCCUGGGCCUUUUCAUAUGAGGUACAUGUACAUGUCUAUGAUGGAGGCGAGGAUGGAGUCCCUUUGCAGAGGGCAGGUGGCCACUGUCGAGAUUAUUGUAGGACUUUAUGAUCAGCCACCAGUGCACAGGUGGACUAUGGACGAGUUCAGUAGUGUGAUGGCUUGGCCUCAAGGGCAGGCAUAGGGUAGUGGGUCUAGAGCAGCUGAAACCUUAGGUGGACAUGAUGAUGACCAGGAGGAUGAAGACUUUGAGGAUGCCCAGGAGGAGGAUGAGUAUGAUUCAGAUAAGGAUCUGCGCUGAGGGCAUCUACUGAUGGAUGCCAACAUUUGGACAAGGAUUUUUCUUUUUCUUUUUCUAUGUACUUUGAAUUAGUAGUAUAGGUUAAAUUUAUGUUUGUGUNUAUGCUUGGCUUGUACACUUAUUCGGAUAAUGGUUCAAUUUUAUUGCAUGAUGAGUUAUUUACUAUUGAUGAUUCAUUGUGGAUGAUAACUGAGAAUGUGUGAAUACUAAUAUCCAGGUUGAAGGUUCACUAACUAUGUGAACAGAUGAGUAAAUGAUUCAUGAUUGUGAUUUUGAUGCAAAGCAGGAUUCAUGAUUGAGAAGUGAGAAAGCAUGAUUGUGUGAGGUAUUGAGCUUCAGAGUUUUUAUUGUUGUGUGCAUUGUUCAUAGGGAAUCAUGGAUGAUAUUGACUUAAUCUUGAUAAUUGAUUGAAUUGCAUGUGUAUGUCAUAUGAUCAAGGGCAUGCUUGGAAAGCCCUUACUUAGCCAAAUUUUCACCCAAAUAAUUUUAAAUGAUAUUCCCUUUUUGAACCUUGGCCUUAAACAGUAUGAAAACCCUUGUUUGAAUUGAAUUACCUUGAGUUGGGUUGAGAACAAUUAUAUGUGUUGAAAAGGUUCAAGUUUGGGGUUAUAUGGGGAAAGUGAAAGGCAAAAGAAAAAGAAAAGCAUUGAAUUCAAAAGAUGAAAAAGAAAAAUGCAUGAGAAAGUAAAGAAAAGAAGAAAAGAGAAAAAGCAUGUAAAGUGAACUCAAUGUAAAAAGGAAAAAGGGAAGAAGUUGGGAAUGAGUGAGAUUGGUUAAAAAGAGAGUGUGCUUGAACUUUGAAUGAUGAUUUAAACUCUCUUAACUCAAGGAUUUUGUAUUCCAGAAAAACUAAUUUUCUUGAUAGCCCAGCCACAAUAUAAGCCUUGGAAAAAGUCCUUGUGAUGACAUGUGCAUGUGAAGAUUUUGAUUGUUUUAGAUGAAUGACAAUAUUGUUUUAUGUGACAUGUGAACAGUAGAGAGUAGAGUGACCUCCUAAACACUUGAGAGAUUGAGUGAAAUACUUGGUUGGUGAGAAUUGUUAAAUCCAUGUUUACAUCUAUGCUUAGUUGAUUGGUCAUUCAUGAACAAAAACAUCUUUUGGAAAAGGAUUGAUUAUGUGAACUAAAUUGGAUUGAAAGCAUGCAUGCAUCUUUAAAGGAUUCCACUGAAAUCUGAAUUGCAUAAUAACUUGUUGUGAGAAAAAGGAAUUUUGAAAAGUGUGAAUGAUUUGAUGAAGAAGUGGAAAGCCAAGUUUUAUCUUGUUUGCUUGAGGACAAGCAAAGUUCUAAGUUUGGGGUUGUGAUAACGGUCUAAAAACUGUUAUUUUCAUGCUUAAAUUUGAUAGUAAAACACAACCUUUAUGGCUUAGAAUGAGCUUUAAAUCAAGUAAAACACUUAGUUGAGUCUUGUGAGAGUCAAAAGUUGGUUUUAGAGAUAUUAUUCUUGUUUUUACAUUGUUUUGCAGGGUUUUAAGGUGAAAUGAAGAUGGAAGAGAAGUAAGGUGAACUUAGACCCAGGAAAGAAGGAGAAAAAUGAUGAAAAGAAGGGUCAAGUGAGCCGCUGAGCGCCAGAAUGGUUCGCUGAGCGCUCAGAGCGAUUAGAGGGAAACCGCUGAGCGGCAAAAUUACCGCUGAGCAAUCAAAGCGGUAAGAGGGAAACCGCUGAGCGGUGAACUUAGGCGCCUGGGCAGUUGUCUAUUUUUAUUAGCUAGAUUUUGUAAUCUUUCUGUUAUCUUUUUGGGCUUAUAUAUAGCCCCAGUGCAAAUUAAAAGGAGAUUCUUUUGGCAGAGAGAAACGUCCAGAGCUAUUCCACACACCUUGGAGGACAUUUCUUGGAUGCUUAGGCUCCUUUUUAUCAAAUCUAGGGUUUGCUUUUCCAUUCUUUCAUUAUUUUCAUCUAGUUUCGCCAUGACAAUGGUGAACUAAACCCUUUGUUGUUGGGGAACAAUGUAAUCUUUUGAAACUCUCAUAUAUCAAAAUUCUUAUUUAUUUCAUAUUCUUGUCAUAUACUUGUUUAUCNAUUGUUGGGUUCUCAUCUAUGCUUAAUGCUUUUAUUGUUUAACUCAUUCAGUAAAAGUGGUUUGUCUUUAUUGAUAUGGGGACGUACGGUAAUGUCAUAAACUGGUGAGAAAUUCCUUGAUUAUGCUAAUACCACCUCGGGAUAGGGGUAGGACGAUCAAUUGUAUUUUGCUUCUGUUCACAUUGCAUUAUUGGUUACUAGGGGAGGCUAGGGAUAGCAAGCUGGUAAUUAAUAAUAGACUCUUUUCACGAAGGGAUUAGGUUAAGGGUAGGGUAGAAAGUUUGCAUGGUAAUUGGAUAAAUAAGUGAAGUAAAUAAGAAAAGUAAAUAUAUGAGAGUGGAUAAGAUGAAAUUGUAAACCCCAACAACACCAUUCAUCCAUAGUUUCUUAAAACCAAUUGAAUCAACUGCAUUUGCAUGUUUAUUUUUGUUCUUUGCAUACAAACAUCAACUUAAUUCUUUUAUCAAGUCUUACGCGAUUUGUUUACAUGAAAAGUAAGGCCUAAGAGUCCUUUGGGAAGAACGAUAUCGGGUUUACCAAUUAUAUUACUUGAUAACGACCUGGUACACUUGUCAGGGGCUUAACAAUUGUUCCCCAACAACAAAAGGGUUUAGUUCACCAUUGUCAUUGUGAAACUAGAUGAAAAAUAAUGGAAGAAUGGAAAAACAAACCCUAGAUUGGAUAAAAAGGAGCCUAAGCAUCCAAGAGAUCUUCUCUAAGGAGUGAAAACUAUGUCUGGCCGCCCUAUUCUGUCAAAAGAAUGCAUCUGAAGUCGCAUUAGGGCUAUUUAUAGCUGAGGAGCGUCACAGAAUUUAGGCCCAAGCCCAGAAGACAUCCGCCCGGCGUCGCACUUUGGCGCCCGACGUUUUCCACAUAAUCGUGCCACCGCCCGGUGGUGAGUUGUACCGCUUGGUGGUUUGCCUGUAAUCGCAAAACCGCCCGGCUUCCCUGCCUGGGCGCCAGACAAUGGCUUCUCCUCGCAUUUGGCCGCCCAGCUUGGAUUUUGGUGCUGGGCGGUUCCUAGACUCUUCUUUUCUUCAUGUUUCUUCUUUUUUCUUAGGUCUAAGACCUUCCAUCUUCAAUCCCAUUCUUCAUUUUCAUCAAAAACGCUGCAAAACAAGCAUAAUAUCUCUAAAAACAGCUUUUGACUCUCAACCGACUCAACUUAUGUGUUUUGCUUGAUUCUAAGCUCAUUCUAAGCCUUAAAGGGUGUAUUUUGAUCUCAAAUGAAGCAUGAAAUAAUUGUUUUUCAACCGUUAUCAGACUGCCUCAAAUAAAGAAUGUAAAGGAUUUUGUGUUUGUUGUUGUUGACCAAUUUUCUGAGAUGACACACUUCAAACCUUGCAAGAAGGUGGAUGAUGCUUGUCAUGUGGCUGAUUUGUUUUUCAAGGAAAUAAUGAGACUUCAUGGACUACCAAUGAGAAUUUUAAGUGAUAAGGAUACAAAAUUCCUUAGUCACUUUUGGAGGACCUUGUGGGGUAAGAUUAAUACUAAAUUGUUAUUUUCUACCACUUGUCACCCACAAAUUGAUGGUCAAAUUGAAGUAGUGAAUAGGAAUUUAGGCACAUUACUUAGAAUUGUCUUAAAGAAAAACCUUAUGUCUUGGGAAGCAUAUUUGCCUCAUGUUGAGUUUGCUUACAAUAAGGUAGUCCACAGCACAACUAAUGUUUCACCUUUUGAGAUUGUGUAUGGACUUAAUCCUUUGACUCCUCUUGAUUUGUUGUCUUUGCCUAACAUUUCUAUGUUUAAGCAUAAAGAAGCGUAGGCUAAAACUGAGUAUGUGAAGAAGUUGCAUGAACAAGUGAAACCUCAAAUUUAAAAGAAAAAUGAGAGUUCUGCAAAGCAAGCUAACGAAGGUAGAAAGAAGGUUGUCUUCUGUUAAACUCUCUACAAGUGUACCAAAUCAAAUUAAGUAAUAAUAAAUGGUAAGAUCAAGUAUCGUGUCCCAAGACACCCGUGCCACUAAGUAAUCAUGUAAUACCUUAACUAAUUAGGACUUCAGAACAACUUCAUUGAAAUAAAAUGCAAAUGCAAUAAAAAUAAAUAUGAAUGCAAGUUGAUCAAUUGAGGCUAAAACAAGAAUGAAUUGAUGAUAUUGAUAAUAUAAGAUUAUUAUGUUGUUGGGGUUUAGAUUUCACCUAAUCACUUUCAUGCAUAUAAGAAAUCCUCUUCUUCACUAGAAUGUUAAUGUCACUUUCUAAAUUACUUAGAACUUGAUGUCUCGGCGUAAAAAGCCUAUCCUUAAUUAUUAGACCACAAUGUCUUGCAUCCCUAAUAAUCAAUUAUGCAUUACAAACAGAAGCUUAAGACAACCAAACGUUUUAUCCCUAUGUGUAGGCAAUAGUCCCUUUGGGUGAAAUUCUCCAGAUCAUGAUUUGUAAGAUAUUUCCCAAUACUUAGACAAAUCAAACAUCAAACUAUGAAUUGCUAAAACAUAAUUAGCAUUACAAAUAGAAGAAAAUCACUAACAUUCAAUGAAAGAAGCAUAAAAUGUUUAAAUCAUAUUCAAAUACAUGAAAGUUUAGAGGUUACAUCUUCCCCAACAACAAAUGAAUUUAGUUCUCCAUUGUCAUGGAGAACCUUGGCAUACAAUAAUUGAAGAAUGAGAUGGAAACCCUAAAAAGAUAAAAGAACAGCUCUCGCAUGCCUAAUCUGCCUCCAAAGGGUCGAAAAGUGUGUUUCUGAGCUUCAGCUAUCAAAAGAUGUGAACCCUAGGGCGAGCAAGUCCUUAAAUAGAUCAAAAACGGCCUACAAGCCCAUGUCGCUGACCCUCAGCGCCCCAACUAGGGGCAAGCAGGCGAAACUGCAAGAGAAGUUGCGCUCAACGCCCUAGUUGAGGGCAACCAGGCGUCCUACAUCAUGUGCUUCUGGCGCUAAGCGCCCCUCAAGAGGGCAACCAGGCGCUGAUGUGUGAACAUCACCCUUGAGGGCCCUUGAAGGGGGCAAUCAAGCUUCUUGCCUGACAUGUGGCGCUGACGGGCCCAAAAAAGGGCAACCAGACGUGGUUGUGAGAUGAUCAACGCGCAAGGCCCCAAAAAAGGGCAACUAGGCGGUCUGCGCCUUCUUCAUUCUACUUCUCUGGUGCUUUUGUUGUCCCUCUUUGUUACUAAUAUGGAGCAUUGAUAAAUCUUGAAGUAAAUGGUUUUGAUGAUGCUACAAGAAGUUUAACCUGAAGAAGAUAUUAGAAAUCUUUUUAAAAGCACUUUGUAGAAUAUAAAUGUAUUAGGAAUGUCCUUAAAAAUGUAAAACUUGUAUUUUAGGUACUGUUCUGAAAUAAUCGAUUAUGAGAGGCAAUAGUCGAUUAUCAGCAGCUUUUCUGAAAAAUUGUAUUGCUCUGGAAUAAUCGAUUAUCACUCCAAAUAAUCAAUUAUCACAGGUCUGUUUUGAAAACUGCCUAAGUUAUUUUGAAAAUCCUGUAAUAGACUUGAAUAAUCGAUUAUCACUUACAAUAAUCGAUUAUUACUGGCAGUUGGGACUUGACUUUUCAUAUUCAUACUAGCUGGCUAUACAUUGAUCUUUUGAGAACUUCAUAAGGAACGUUGUUGAACAUAAAGCUCUUGAAGAAUAUAAUCUGUCUGAGGAAGUUCUCAAAAGUGUUAAGUCCCUGGCAAGUGUAUGAUACCAGUCUAAAAACUGUUAUUUUCAUACUUAAAUUUGAUAUCAAAACACACCCUUUAUGACUUAGAAUGAGCUUAAAAUCAAGUAAAACACUUAGUUGAGUCAUGAGAGAGUCAAAAGUUGGUUUUAGAGAUAUUAUGCUUGUUUUUACAUUGUUUUGCAGGGUUUUAAGGUGAAUUGAAGAUGGAAGUAAUGUAAGGUGGACUUAGACCCGUGAAAGAGGAAGAAAAAUGAUGAAAAAAGGGUCAAGUGAACCGCUGAGCGUCAGAAUGGACCGCUGAGCGUCCAAAGCGAUGAAGUUCAAACCGCUUAGCGGUAAAACUGACCGCUGAGUGGUCCAAAGGCUAAAGGGGAAACCGCUGAGCGGUUGCCUAUUUUUAUUAGUUUGAUUCUAUAAUAUUUUUGUUAUCUUUUUUGCUUAUAUAUAGCCCUAGUGCGAAUCAAAAUGUAAUCUUUUGGCAGAGAGAAACGUCCAGAGCUAUUCCACACACCUUGGAGGAGGUUCCUUGGAUGCUUAGGCUCCGAUCUACCAAGUUUAGGGUUAUUUCUUCCAUUCUUUCAUUAUAUCUCAUCUAGAUUCACCAUGAUUAUGGUGAACUAAACCCUAGGUUGUUGAGGAACAAUGUAAUCUUUUGAAACUCUCUUAUAUCAAAAUUCUUAUCUUCUUUAUAUUCUUGCAUAUACUUAUCUUUAUCAAUGAUUAGGUUCCUUACCUUUGCUUAAUGCUUUUAUCGUUUAACUCAUUCGGUAAAUGUUGUUUGUCUUUAUUGAUACGCAAACGUACAAUAAUGUCAUGAACUGGGGGUAAUCCCUUGAUUAUGCUAAUACCGCCUAGGAAUAGGGGUAGGAUGAUCAAUUGUAUUUUGCUUCUGCUUAUCAUGCAUUAUUAAUUGCUAGGGGAGGCUAGGGAUACCAAGCCAGUAAUUAGUAAUAGGCUCUUUUCGCCAAGGAAUUGGGUUAAGGGUAGACCAAGAAAGUCUGCAUGGCAAUUUGAUAAAUAAGUGAAUUAGAUAAGAAAAGUAGAUAUAAGAGGGUGGAUAAGAUGAAAUUGUAAACCCCAAUAACUCCAUUCAUUCAUAGUUUCUUUUAGCCAACUGAUUCACAGCAUUUGCAUGCUUACUUUUGCUUUUGCAUUUAAAAACCUAAAAUCAAUUUCUUCUCAAGUCUUAUGUGAUUGAUUUACAUGAAAGUUAAGGCCUAAGAGUCCUUUGGGAAACGAUACUUGGACUUACCCAUUUAUAUUACUUGAUAACGAUCUGGUACACUUGCCAAGGACUUAACAGCCUGCAAAUCCGAGAUCUCAAAAGGCAAGAGUUCAAAAAAAUUUAAAGAUGAUGAUUCCGAUGAUGAGGAGAACAUGAGCCUCAUGAUAAAGAAAUUUACUAAAUUUAUGAAAGCAAAAGGUAAGGAAAAUUUCCGUAAAGAAAGGAGAGAAAAUCAAGAAUCUCCUUCAAGUGUUAAAUGCUAUGGAUGUGGAGAAAGAGGACAUAUGAAAAUUGAAUGUGCAACGAACAAGAAAAGUGAAGAAAAGAAGGAAAGAAAGUUUCCAAAGAAAAAGAAAGCUUACAUAGCUUGGGAAGAUAAUGCUUCUAGUUCAACUAGUUGAAGUGAUUCAGAUGAAGAAGUGAUGAGUUAAUAUUUUAUUAACUGCUGAUGGGCUAUCGUAACCCACACAAAUUUGAUGUGCAAAUAAAUGUAGUAUAGCUGGGGAGUGACCCCUAGGUCGUCUCCCAAAGACCAAUUUGCGGUUCGAGAAUCGAGUCUAACACGGAAGGGGGGGUUGUGAAAACGGUUUGCGAAAACCAAAGAACUCAAUAAAGACACAUAUGCAAACAAACUAAUUUAAGCUAGCAUGNUAAUUAAACUAACACUAUUAAAAACCUUAGACAACGUUCAAACAUCAAACACUGUGACAAACAAAUUAACAAACACAGUUAAAAAUAAUCAAAAUGCAAGACUAACUCAAACACAUAAACUCAACCUAUUAACUAAAUUAAUUAAAAACCAAAGAAACCAACAAGCCUUAUUUAAUCCUAGCAAUUAACUUGACUAAAUGGCAAUUAACAAGUGAAUUUAAAAGUCCAAUUGGCCAAAGAAAGAGCAUAUGGCCGUGAGACAUGUUCAAAGGUCCAACUCCAAAAUUCUAUCUUCACUUAACUACCAAAUGUGUUGUCUUUUGUCUCAUGUGCACCAAUUCUCAAAGAAAUCAAGCAUGUGCCUUCCAAACUCUAUAAAACCAUCCUCUCUCUCCUACCAUGCAGCAAAAUAAAAUGGAAACCACACCAAGCCAUACAAUUCACGUGAGCAAAUGAAAAUUAGAAAUUAAUUUUAAAAGUCCAAUUGGCCAAAAAGAACCUCAUGGUCGUGCACUACUCUCCACCAAGACCAAAUCAAUUUUUAACCUUCAAUGAGCCACCAAAUUUGUUGUCUUUUUGUCCCUAUGUGCACCAUGUCUCAAAAGAAAUUAAAAUAUGUUUUAAACAACCAAUUGAAAACCUUCCCAUCACUUCUCCAUGUAGCAAUUUCGGAAUCCACACUCCAAGACCACAAAAACCGAACCUACCAAGUGAAUUCUACAAAGACCAAUGUGCAAAUGGAAGAUACCUUGGGUGCUCCUACCAAUGUGCCAAGUAAGCUAAACCAAAUGAAAACAAAAUCCAAAAACCUCUCACCACCCUUGCAAUUCUCGGUAGAAACAAUGCAAAAGCCAAAGCUCAAAGUAGAAACAUUCUCUUAGUCAAAAGAAGCAUCAUAUGUGUUUGUCCAAAUAUGGUAAAGACUUAAAUGCACCUUCUCUCCUCCUUUUUAUCUCCAUUUUCGGUUUUUCCUCUACCAACACACACCAUUCAUGUUUUCUUCCUCCAUUCUACCGAAACAUACACCCAAGAGACCAAAGCAUCAAUUUCAAAACAAGUCAUGAACAAUAAACCCAAACAUAUGCUACUUCAACCCAACAAAAUCUUCCAUUCCUUCAAGUUUCUUUGCAAAAACGAAAAUAAUAACUAAGCUAUCAAUUCCAGCUCUGUCCAGCCACAAUAACAACACCAAACUCUGGUCCCAUCCUUGUUUCAAACAUCAAAACCGAAAAAUGAAAGGAAAGAGUUCAACCCACAACACCCACACAUCAUCUUAAGCUCUCUUCAACCCAAAACUCACAUAGAACUCCAUUUUUAUCAUCCAACCAAGUAAAAUGCAAGGAAAAACGUGAGCAACUGCUGCAAUGGAAGAGGAAAACGAAAAUAUAAAGUUACUCAAACCCAACAACCACCAUGGAAAUGCAAAGACAAGCUCCAAAGCUCAAGCUUCAAACAUCAAGAACAAGCAAAUGGAAGUAGAAAUGAACAAUUUUUCACCACCAAUAAGCUAAGACAACCAAGAGUAAGUUAAGAGAAGAAGAAAAUAUGCAUCUUAUUCAUGGAAAAUGGCCAAAAUCCGAAGCACCAAGCAAGCUCCCCUUAAAGCAUUUUCAUACAUGAAAACCCUAGGAGAGAAAAGUUCAAAACCAUGAGUAUCAAGUGUGUCCAUUUGGUGGCUCGGUAUUCUCCCUUCUAAAGACCGAGAAUCCUCCCCAAGGUGGGGUCCACAACUAAUUUAAAACCCUAACCUAAAAGAUACAUGUCCUACACAUGGGUUUUUUACAAAAUUGCCCUUAAAAGGGUCCAAAACACCUAAUUCUAAUUAAGGACUUCUAGAAAACGAAAUUACAACUUUAAUUAGAAUCUAAAUGACUAAAUGUUGAGCCUUUGAAUGUGUCACGCCAUAUCCUAAUACUCCAGAUUAUGUUUCCACAACUUCCCUGCAACCAGAAAUGCGCUUAAUCAGCUCAGAAAAUCCAAAUUACGAAUUUUCGACCAAAUUAAGCAAAAUUCGGAAAACGGGGAAAUAACAGACAAUUAAACACAAUUCCCUGGUUUAUUUAAGUGCAAUAAAUUAAAUAAAGUUCAAGAAAUAACGACUCAUCAACUACACUUAGUUUAUUGUACCGAAUUUAAUCAGGGAAAAGUGCUUAAAUGUCCAAUAUUUUCCCAUUUUUGCCAAUUGUGCUUAAUUUGACUAGAAAUUCUAAUUUUAAUUAAUUUGAAUAUUCUGAGCUAAUUAAUUGCAUUUUUAAUUGCAGGGAAAAUUUUGGAGAUAUAUUUUGGAGCAUUGGGAAGGAGACAAAAUAAAUUCAAGACUCUCCAAUUAGACAUUUUAAAAUUAAUUGUAUUGUAGUUUUGAUUGUUUAAACUUUUUGGACAAACUUUUGCACAUUGGGCCAUUGUUAAAAAAUUAUGAGGGGCCCAAAAUUGUAGGACACUUGGCACAUCCCUAGGUUUUUUUUUAGGGUGGACCCCACUCUCAUUAUAUGACACACGACCUAGGGAUUGGAAAGACAUUCAGUCGUCACACUUGCACAUUUUUAUUUUUCUUAGAACUUGGCUGGAACGCUUUCUUCUAAAGAAUUUUUGCUGGGAACCAUGUGAACGUUAUGAUGGAGAAUGGGUGAAGGGUAGGAAAGCAUAUUUUUCCUUUUGAUUAUUUUUUUCAUUACACUGCUUUCAAUUUAUUUUAUACAACUUUCAAUUAAGCACGCAACUGCACACUUUCUCUGGCCUCACAGAGUUGUUUUUCUUGCUGCAUUCGGUGAUUGAUGUGGGAGAAUGUAGAAAGCAGCCGCAUCUUGUUUCACUUGGUUUUGCUUUGAAUGUUUUUAUUAAAGUAAUGAGCUUUUAGAUGCCUGCUUUUAUUUCAUUUUGGGAAAACGGUGUAGAUUAAAAAUGGAAGAAGCUACACGAAUUCAUUUUCUUGCUUUUAAAAGAAAAGAUUAGGUGGCGCUAUUUCUUUUUCUUUGUUAGUGUUGGCGGUGAACACCAUCUAAGCAUGGGUUGCGUUGAUUUCUUUUAAUUCAUUGCAUGCUGGUUUUAAUUCAUUGCAAGCGGUGAACACCACUUUCUUUUAAUUUCUUUUAAUUCAUAUGCACACUGAUUUAUUUCUUUGGAGGAGGCGCUUCAUGAUAUAGGACAAAUGAUUCAUUCAUUGCUUGAAGAAGGCACACGUGGUGAUGGAUUUCGGGUGAUGCACACAACUUAUUUCAGCAAGUGAAUUCAUUGGGCACGUCCUUGAAUGGGAGCGCUCCCAAAAGUUCUUCUUUUGUUUUCACGCUUGCAUCCAAACUUAAUAUAUAUUAUUAAAAUGCAUCCAGGAUAGUAGUUUAUUAAUUUAUUUUAUUCUUAUUGUCAUGCAUUUUUUUAAUGUUGCUUUCAUGACGUGCUUCAUCUAGAUGAUUUCAAUGUGCAUUUUAAUUUUUAGUUUAACGUUUCUUUUUUAGUUUCAAUAGCGUUUGAAUAUUUAUCUACCUCAGUGUCCAGUUCAAUAUUUUCUCUUAGUUUAAAGUUAUCUAGUAUGUUUGGUAGUGAUAAUUUAACUAUCAUGUUAGCUUAGGUUAGUUGGUUGGUCAUUCAUACAAUUGCUUUGUUUCCUUGAGAUUUCUUGGAUUGUUCUUGUGUUUAUUCUGCUCUGCCUGACAUUCUAUGAAAUCUGACUGCGUUCUUGCAAUGGGUAUACAUUUAGUUGCCCGAUUGGUGAUUGCAUCUUCGCUUAGUUGAUCAAUCUGUAUAGAACACAUCAGAUGGAAUAGUUGUAUUGCGUUCGCUUAGUUCGCGAUUAUGAUAGCACGAUUAACCUUCGCUUAGUCGGUUAGUUGUGCUAGAUUAGAGGCUAAAGCAGUUUAUUCAUGAGACUCUUGGACUUUAAUUGCCAUGUUGCUGCUCUGAUUUCGCUCAAUAUUUAAUCUGUUGUGUGCUUGCGAUUAGGUAUAUGCUUAGUUGCCUAAUCGGUGUUUAAUCUUCGCUUAGUUGAUUAGACUGUAUGGUGCAUGACUGAUUAAAUUUGUGCAUUGCAUUCGCGUAGUCUGCAAUUUUGAAGACCGAAUUAGCCUUCGCUUAGUUAGGUGAUUCGUGUCGGAUUUGGAUCAGAGUAGUGUGUACUUGUCUUUAAUCUGAGAUUUGAGGCAUAGUAAUUGAGUUAAUGACCAACCGUUUUUCUUCUGUCUUUGAUUCCAUUUUGCAUUUCUGUUUGCAUCCGUAUUUUAAUUUAGUUCAUUUACAUUCACAAACCUUUUAACAACCCCCCCCCCCCACUUCGUGUCUGACCUAAUUCUCGAACCACAUUUGGUCCUUGAGAGACGACCUUGGAGUCACUUCCUAGUCUAUAUUGCAUUCUUUUAUGCACAUUAAAUUUUGCAUGGGGUGCAACACCCAUCAAAAUUUUGUUGUGUUAGUGUGUGUUGUGUUUUGUCUUGUGUUGUGAGUGUGAUGUUCUGUUUUGUGUUUUUUUCAUUGUGUGUUGCAUUUAGGUAGCUUUAGUUUCAUAUUUUCAUUGCAUUCUUCUUACCCCCCCCCCU
rnacentral:lncRNA from 1 species